rnacentral:rRNA from 1 species
GAUGAACGCUAGCUACAGGCUUAACACAUGCAAGUCGAGGGGCAGCAUGGUCUUAGCUUGCUAAGGCCGAUGGCGACCGGCGCACGGGUGAGUAACACGUAUCCAACCUGCCGUCUACUCUUGGACAGCCUUCUGAAAGGAAGAUUAAUACAAGAUGGCAUCAUGAGUCCGCAUGUUCACAUGAUUAAAGGUAUUCCGGUAGACGAUGGGGAUGCGUUCCAUUAGAUAGUAGGCGGGGUAACGGCCCACCUAGUCUUCGAUGUAUAGGGGUUCUGAGAGGAAGGUCCCCCACAUUGGAACUGAGACACGGUCCAAACUCCUACGGGAGGCAGCAGUGAGGAAUAUUGGUCAAUGGGCGAGAGCCUGAACCAGCCAAGUAGCGUGAAGGAUGACUGCCCUAUGGGUUGUAAACUUCUUUUAUAAAGGAAUAAAGUCGGGUAUGGAUACCCGUUUGCAUGUACUUUAUGAAUAAGGAUCGGCUAACUCCGUG